CAGGCUUAACACAUGCAAGUCGAGGGGCAGCAUUUUUAUAGCAAUAUAAAAGAUGGCGACCGGCGCACGGGUGAGUAACACGUAUCCAACCUGCCGAUAACUCGGGGAUAACCCUUCGAAAGAAGGCCUAAUACCCGAUGGCAUAUCCCUUCCGCCUGGUGGGGAUAUUAAAGAACUUCGGUUAUCGAUGGGGAUGCGUUCCAUUAGCUUGUUGGCGGGGUAACGGCCCACCAAGGCUUCGAUGGAUAGGGGUUCUGAGAGGAAGGUCCCCCACAUUGGAACUGAGACACGGUCCAAACUCCUACGGGAGGCAGCAGUGAGGAAUAUUGGUCAAUGGACGAGAGUCUGAACCAGCCAAGUAGCGUGAGGGAUGAAGGUCCUAUGGAUUGUAAACUUCUUUUAUACGGGAAUAAAGUGCAGUAUGCAUACUGUUUUGUAUGUACCGUAUGAAUAAGGAUCGGCUAACUCCGUGCCAGCAGCCGCGGUAAUACGGAGGAUCCGAGCGUUAUCCGGAUUUAUUGGGUUUAAAGGGAGCGUAGGCGGAUGCUUAAGUCAGUUGUGAAAGUUUGCGGCUCAACCGUAAAAUUGCAGUUGAUACUGGGCGUCUUGAGUACAGUAGAGGCAGGCGGAAUUCGUGGUGUAGCGGUGAAAUGCUUAGAUAUCACGAAGAACUCCGAUUGCGAAGGCAGCCUGCUGGACUGU
rnacentral:rRNA from 1 species